UCUAUUUUCCACCGUGAAAUCUCAUCUCUCACCUGCAGAAAGCAGCAGUAAAAGGCAUCACUCAGGUGGUCAUCUCCCGGAUCACCAUGGCAGCACCAGGAAUGAUCAUCCUCCCCAUCAUCAUGCAGAGGCUGGAAAAGUACAAGUUCAUGCAGAGAAUCACGUUUCUUCACGGACCAAUUCAAGUCAUGCUGGUGGGAGUCUUUCUGAUCUUCAUGGUGCCRGCGGCCUGCUCCCUGUUCCCUCAGCGAUGGUAAUGAAAAUAUCCCGUCCUCUCACCUGCUGCCACAUUCAAACACCUCAUCUCUCGCAGGUUUUCCGCUGUCCCUUUUGACUUCAUGUCUGAUUGAGUCAAACAAGUUGGAAAUAGGGAGAGGAAAUUAUAAUCUGUGAGCUGWUAAAGAUGCCAAGCAAGUUCAGCGCUGUAGAAAGUCUUGAGCCAAGGCCUCAUGAUUUYACUUUAAUAUUGUCACUUAUUGAUAAUAUUUAGGGUUCUAAUGCAAUCUGGAAAAAAGUCUGAAUGCAGUAUUUUCUAAAUCUGGACUAGUUUAUUAUUUGAAUAGAAUAGAAUAAAAAUAUUUCUUUAUUAAUGCCAGAGUGGGGAAAUUUACUUGUUAUAGCAGCACAAAAACAAAAUAUACAGAAUAUAAAAAUAUCUAAAAAUAAUAUAAACAACUGUUUGCUAAUAUCUUGUAUUCCUUUCUUCCAUGCAUGCUUGCACCUCCAUAUUCUUUCUCUUACUCUUUUGCUUUCUUUCACUGUUUCAGUAUUUUGCUCUCUUUCUUUCUCUCGUUUGCUCUUUCACWCUCUGGUUUCUUUCCAUCCUUGUGACCUUCGCAAUAAUUUCAUUAAAAUAACUCUUCCACCCAACACUUCUUCGAUUAAUAUAUGCAAACCUGWAACUUUGAUUUAUUUUAAUGCUCUCUGCAGUAUUUUGUGAAGCUCUGAAAUGGAUCUCUCCACCACUCAAACUGCAUUGAAUCUUCAAGUCUUCUGACCAGCAAAGAAACUCCCAAAUUAAAAAGUCUGCUAAAUGUUAUUGAGCAGUCCAGAUGUUUUUCUCGCUGCAUUCAUGUUGAUUUACUUGGAUGACUAAACAGUCGUAAAACUGCUCCUGCUGUCUGGCUAGCAGAUGGUUUUUAUGACCUGCAAACAAAUCUAUAAAUCCCUGUUAUCUGACUUCAGAUGCUGAAAUAAAAUGUCUGUGAGGAAAUAAUAACGGGGAGCUGAGCUGUGAGCAGAGAAGCGAGCGUCAAAUAGUUAAACACAGUGAGCUGAAAUCUUUUGGAUUGUCUUACGGGACACAUGCUUACAAAAGAUUCUAUAAUUCAGCUGUAAUAAAACUUUGACAGCUGAUAAAAGUUUAAUUCCUUCUCUGAAGACACCCAGUGACCCUUAAAUUUUUUACAACAGUUUGCUUMUUUUAAAUGUGUGGGAGAAACCAAAUUGAACAAGUAAUUUAGGAGCUACAAUCAGACUCACUAUCGCUCUUCAAACAUUAAUCAAAGUGUAAAUAUAGGCCAGAACCAAACUAAGAAGUGUAUUUAUUAGGAAUAAUUAAUUUAGGAAUUGUUUUUCAUGCAGCUUCACUUUAUAUCUUGGAUAUUUAAGAUAAAUUAGAAUCUGGUUUUGAAUCCAGUAAGGAAGAAAAGUCACUCAUUA